AUUUAAUAUGGAAUAGAUCAUGCACGUGCAAGCAAAACUCGGUCUCAAAUAAAAGGUCUCAAGAAUCUAAAGUGGAGUGCUAAAUUGAAAUGCUUACGGUGGAAUCCAUCACAAUCAAAUGCAAAAAUCACAAAAGAGAAAAACUAUCACAGAAAUUAUUUAUUAUGAUUAAAUAACAAAAUUAUCUAAGAAAAACUGAAUCAAAUGAAACCAAGACUAUGAAUUCUUCCAAGAUUAUUAAGCUUUCAUGACAUUGGGAAUUAUCCAUUGAAAUUUGUCCACAAUUCACGUAAAAACAUACCGAAGCGAAUUAUCAUGUAAAAGGGAUCCAAUUGCAAACAUUAAUCAAUCAUGUGAGCCCAAUUAGAACAUUUAAGAACUUUAAAGGUUCAAGAAUGAUGAAAAGGUCAAGUCAUGGUUCAGAUUGCAAAUACUUUAGGACUCAAUUGCAAGAAAUUAAAGCAUAAUUGGGUCACAGUGCAACAAAGGGGAACUUAGGGGAUCAAAGUGCAAUUUUUGAAGUUAUUUUCAUGCAAAAACCAUGCAAUCACGUAGAAGGCCUUCUGCAAUUCUGGUUUCCUUUCCUAUAUGACAUGCUGUAUUUCAUUAUUAACCAAAUGCAUCACCAAACAAACAUCAACAACCACAAAACAUCACUCCUAAUCAUCAACCAAUUCGAGUGACAGUUUCAUUACAAGACUAAAACAGAAAAUCUGGAUCGGUGGCUACCAGAGAUACAAGAAAUAUCAACCAAAGAAAGGAGUAAAGUGCUGCAAUUUUCCAGUUGCAGCUUUGCCGCCACUUUCCUUGAUGCUUUGGAUCAAAACAUGCAACUUCGUCAAUCAUUUUGCACAAGAUUUAACUAGCAAAUUGGAUGAAUAAAACCC
rnacentral:lncRNA from 1 species